GCUUUCCCGGGGCCAGCAGGCUGCUUGGCUUGUGUUUGCUCGGUCGACUGUCUGGAGCUGGAUCUGGAUACUUCUCAAAGGGGAGGAAGGACUGCAGAUGCUGGGUUGUGCCCCAGGAGGCUGUGGGGAUGAACCCAGGCAGGUCCUUCUCCCCAUUCUGAUGUCACCCACCAUCCUGAGAGAUUGUCAUCGUUCUAGCAUCUGCCUCCAUCUCCACACUGCCUGUUGCUGGGCUGUGUCUUCAUAGGGUGUCUCUCUCUGGAAAGUAAGUUACCUGCCUCCCAAACAUGGACAGUGCAGGUAUGGGUUGACAUCCUGUCCAAAGAGAGAUAGGAUGAAGGGUCACAGUCCUAGGAAAGACACAGGCCUAAAAAUGACUCUGGCCAGAUGCUCUGUCCCCUCCCCUCCGGACUGGUGGCUGUUGCUGCACCUCCUCUGCCUUUGCCCUGUGCCCAUUGUCCUCUGAGUCCUGCUUCCCCUGACUUGACGGAGGACGUGCGUCUACAGCCACGUAGCUUCCUGUCUGCACAG
rnacentral:lncRNA from 1 species